rnacentral:rRNA from 1 species
AUUCGAUGCAACGCGAAGAACCUUACCUACUCUUGACAUCCAUGGAAUCUUGUAGAGAUAUGAGAGUGCCUUCGGGAACCAUGAGACAGGUGCUGCAUGGCUGUCGUCAGCUCGUGUUGUGAAAUGUUGGGUUAAGUCCCGCAACGAGCGCAACCCUUAUCCUUUGUUGCCAGCGAUUUGGUCGGGAACUCAAAGGAGACUGCCGGUGAUAAACCGGAGGAAGGUAGGGAUGACGUCAAGUCAUCAUGGCCCUUACGAGUAGGGCUACACACGUGCUACAAUGGCGUAUACAGAGGGAAGCGAUAGUGCGAGCUGGAGCGAAUCUCACAAAGUACGUCUAAGUCCGGAUUGGAGUCUGCAACUCGACUCCAUGAAGUCGGAAUCGCUAGUAAUCGCAAAUCAGAAUGUUGCGGUGAAUACGUUCCCGGGCCUAGUACAC